rnacentral:ncRNA from 1 species
CGGCGGGACACCCUUCCCCACCGAAGGGCACAUAUCUGGAAGGAUAGUAU